UGAUUGAACGUGCUUGCACGGACUUGACGUUGGUUUACCAGCGAGUGGCGGACGGGUGAGUAACACGUAGGUAACCUGCCCCAAAGCGGGGGAUAACAUUUGGAAACAGAUGCUAAUACCGCAUAACAAUUUGAAUCGCAUGAUUCAAAUUUAAAAGAUGGCUUCGGCUAUCACUUUGGGAUGGACCUGCGGCGCAUUAGCUUGUUGGUAGGGUAACGGCCUACCAAGGCUGUGAUGCGUAGCCGAGUUGAGAGACUGAUCGGCCACAAUGGAACUGAGACACGGUCCAUACUCCUACGGGAGGCAGCAGUAGGGAAUCUUCCACAAUGGGCGCAAGCCUGAUGGAGCAACACCGCGUGAGUGAAGAAGGGUUUCGGCUCGUAAAGCUCUGUUGUUAGAGAAGAACGUGCGUGAGAGCAACUGUUCACGCAGUGACGGUAUCUAACCAGAAAGUCACGGCUAACUACGUGCCAGCAGCCGCGGUAAUACGUAGGUGGCAAGCGUUAUCCGGAUUUAUUGGGCGUAAAGCGAGCGCAGGCGGUUUGAUAAGUCUGAUGUGAAAGCCUUUGGCUUAACCAAAGAAGUGCAUCGGAAACUGUCAGACUUGAGUGCAGAAGAGGACAGUGGAACUCCAUGGUGUAACCGGGU
rnacentral:rRNA from 1 species